rnacentral:rRNA from 1 species
CAAAGGUUAAUUCCGGUGGCGGAUGGGCAUGCGUCGCAUUAGUUAGUUGGCGGUGUAACGGACCACCAAGACGACGAUGCGUAGGGGUUCUGAGAGGAAGGUCCCCCACACUGGUACUGAGACACGGACCAGACUCCUACGGGAGGCAGCAGUGAGGAAUAUUGGUCAAUGGGCGGGAGCCUGAACCAGCCAAGUCGCGUGAGGGAUGACGGCCCUAUGGGUUGUAAACCUCUUUUGCCGGGGAGCAAAGUGCCGCACGUGUGCGGUUUGGAGAGUACCCGGAGAAAAAGCAUCGGCUAACUCCGUGCCAGCAGCCGCGGUAAUACGGAGGAUGCGAGCGUUAUCCGGAUUUAUUGGGUUUAAAGGGUGCGUAGGCGGACGCUUAAGUCAGCGGUAAAAUUGCGGGGCUCAACCUCGUCGAGCCGUUGAAACUGGGUGCCUUGAGUGGGCGAGAAGUACGCGGAAUGCGUGGUGUAGCGGUGAAAUGCAUAGAUAUCACGCAGAACUCCGAUUGCGAAGGCAGCGUACCGGCGCCCAACUGACGCUGAAGCACGAAGGCGUGGGUAUCGAACAGGAUUAGAUACCCUGGUAGUCCACGCAGUAAACGAUGAAUGCUAGUUGUC